GGCUGGGGCUCCUGAAGGUGUAAGGUGGUGUUCUGGAAAAGUGACUUCGGAAGUGACCGAAAGCUGUCAAACAUUUUGCUAGUGAAUUGCUGUGGGUGAACUCUAGGAGAUAUCGGGCUUCUUUUGUGUUCCCUGGAGAUAUGGACGCAUCGGCGACAUGAUUCAUCUAACAGUGUCUGUGUGGAAGUUCAUCGAUGGCUUUCGAAGUUGUGACCACUAGUUGGUGAUGGCGUGAAAUGAAUGAUGUUCACAUUAUGCGACUAUGUACUGUAUUAUUAGGACUUAAGGCGAACCAAUGACGAGCAGUGAAAGAGCUUAGGGCUGGAGAAGUAAUAGACUAUUUAUUAACUUGGAUCCUAUGACUGGAAAAGACAUAUUCAACAAACGAAGAGCAUAGGGUUGGAGAAGGCAUAGAUUACUAACAGCUGCAGACGAGACUUUGUAAUACCCAGGUGGAGUGAAGAGCUCUGAAAUAAACUGAAGAAUUUACAAGUACAGGAAGUUGGAUGAGAAGCUGGAUGAGAAGCCGAAUACGCAGUGUUAAAUAGUUCUGAGCUGAUAUUAGAGUAUCAAGAGUAGUUAGAUAUAUAGAGUGAAGAGGAGAGAGCUGUAGUCAAACAAGACCUUACAAAAGUGCUGAGGAAUUGAAGAAUUUAGACGAGACGAAAAUCAUGCCGACGGAAUAUGUACGGCGUGCAGCUUUAAAAUCUACGGAAUGAGUUAAUAUACAGGAGGGCAACCAAGAAAGAAGGGUAAGGCGGAGAAGAUGAUAAACUAACAGGAAAAGACAACAAUCGUAUAUAUUAUAAAAGGGUACGUCAUAAGCAAUUUAUUUAAU